UACGUAGGGUGCAAGCGUUAAUCGGAAUUACUGGGCGUAAGGGGCGCGUAGGCGGCACGGCAAGUCGGGAGUGAAAGCCCGGGGCUCAACCCCGGAGGGUCUUCCGAAACUGCCGAGCUAGAGUGCGGAAGAGGCAACCGGAAUUCCCAGUGUAGCGGUGAAAUGCGUAGAUAUUGGGAAGAACACCAGAGGCGAAGGCGGGUUGCUGGGCCGACACUGACGCUGAGGCGCGAAAGCCAGGGGAGCAAACGGG
rnacentral:rRNA from 1 species